rnacentral:snRNA from 1 species
UACAAUUUUCAGUGGUACAUAAAAUUGAAACAAUGUCGAGAAGAUCAGCAUGGUCCCUGCACAAGGAUGACACACAAAUCUGUGAAGUGUUGCAUAUUUCU